UAGCUCAGUGGUAGAGUGUGUGCUUAGCAUGCACAAGGUCCUGGGUUCAAUCCCCAUG
rnacentral:tRNA from 1 species